GUCAUUGCAUACGUCCAUAGCUCUCCGAGGGGGAACUGGUUAAAUUUUCUCUCUCCCAUCUUGGGUUCACUCGUUCAUUCGUGAUACCUGUGAAGCCGGUUCGAAUAAUCGCUGCAGACAUGGACGGCGGCAUGGGCAGGGGCGGCAUGUCCAGGGGCAUGGGCAGGGGAGACUUCUCCAGAGGCCGCGGUGGCCCCAUGAGAGGCCGUGGUGGGCCCCCUGGGUCCUUCAGAGGUGGCCCGCCGAGGGGAGGGGGCCCUCCCGGCCGUGGGGGUGGAGACUUCAUGGGCCGAGGACGAGGAGACUUCUCGCGGGGCCGUGGCAACGGAGACUUCUCUUCAAGAGGCCGUGGGGGUGGCGGCGACUUUGCCCUCAGGGGCCGAGGGGGUGGAGAGUUUGUGCCCCGUGGACGGGGGGGCGGAGACUUCGUACCCCGUGGGGGCCGAGGGGGUUUCACCCCGAGAGGCCGCGGCGAGUUCACCCCAAGGGGCCGCGGGGACUUCACGCCGAGGGGCCGUGGCGACUUCACUCCGAGGGGCCGCGGCCGCGGCGACUUCACGCCCCGAGGGCGGGGAGACUUUUCCUCGAGGGGACGCGGAGACUUUGCACCAAGGGGUGGUGGCUACUCCGGGGGCCCCCCGAGCCGGGACCUGGGUGGCAUGGGUGGGGGCGGACCCCCGGCCGCGAUGGGACGCGGUGGACCCUCGCUGAGGGGAGACGGACCCCCGAGGGGCAUGGCGCCCCGGGGAGGCAUGGGGGGAGUGGGAGGACCACCCGCCAAGAGGGGCCGCUGGGACGGGCCCUCGGCCUCCUCCUCCUACGCCGACUCCUACUACAACAACGGCAGGUGCCCCCUCUUGCCCCCUCCCAGCCAAGACUUUGGAAACGCUGCGGGCGGCUUCGACGACGGCGGUUACGGGUCUGCUGCGCCCACAAGUCGGAGCUCAUACCAGGACCCCUACUCCGCGCCUCCGGACAUGAUGGGCAACGGCUACCAGGCCCCCAGCACGGGUGGAUAUGGGGAGCCUGCCGGCGGAUACAGCUCCGAGUUUUCCAAGCCCAUGGACCGAGGAGUGGGCGACUACAGGAGCAGCAGCGUGGGCGGAUACGCCGCCCCUCCCAUCGCGGGCGGAGGCUAUGCGAGCAGCUACGACGACAACAGGGGCUACGGCGGGGGCCGACAGGACGGCGGCUAUGGCAGUUCCGUGCCUCCCGCGGACGGCUUCGGAGCCAGACCUGCGGUGGAUGCGUACGGCGGAGCGCUACUACCUCGUCCAUCACUGCUUCUGCCUCCGGCCUGACGGCUUCAUUCAACAGUCCAGGGUGGACCUCUGGCAUCUGUCAAAGCUUCAGGGUACCAACAACCUGAAACAUUCUGGGCCACUGGAUCCUCUGGGACAAGUGCUUCUGUGGUUGAUCUCCGAUUUACCAAAUAAAUGGUGUUGUGUUGGUUUUUA
rnacentral:misc_RNA from 1 species